rnacentral:tRNA from 1 species
GAUUGUAGCGCAGUGGUAGAGCACUUGCCUAGCACGUGUGAGGCCCUGGGUUGGAUCCCCAGCACCA